AACGAACGCUGGCGGCAUGCCUAACACAUGCAAGUCGAACGAGACCUUCGGGUCUAGUGGCGCACGGGUGCGUAACGCGUGGGAACCUGCCCUUAGGUUCGGAAUAACUCCCCGAAAGGGGUGCUAAUACCGGAUAAUGUCUUCGGACCAAAGAUUUAUCGCCUUUGGAUGGGCCCGAGUUGGAUUAGCUAGUUGGUAGGGUAAAAGCCUACCAAGGCGACGAUCCAUAGCUGGUCUGAGAGGAUGAUCAGCCACACUGGGACUGAGACACGGCCCAGACUCUUACGGGAGGCAGCAGUGGGGAAUAUUGGACAAUGGGCGAAAGCCUGACCCAGCAAUGCCGCGUGAGUGAUGAAGGCCUUAGGGUUGUAAAGCUCUUUUACCCGGGAUGAUAAUGACAGUACCGGGAGAAUAAGCUCCGGCUAACUCCGUG
rnacentral:rRNA from 1 species